rnacentral:rRNA from 1 species
CCAUGGAGCUUUAAACUCACUGUACACCUCUAUGUUCCUAUAUCCUUAUAACACAAGAAACCUGUACAUUAGUUUUAGGUUGGGGGGACCACGGAGUACAACUUAACCUCCAUAACAAAUGGGCUAACACCCUUAUCCACGAGACACAACUCUAAGAAUUAAUAGACUAAUGCUUAUGACCCGAUAUUCGAUCAAUGAACCAAGUUA